UGUUAUUGCUGCUUAGAGACCUGUAGAUAGGGGAAGCAUCAACAGUAUUUAUUUUAAAGACAACGGUGAGAUAGCAGGUAGAGGAAAGCAGAAGGGAAGGCUUGAGAGGGUUAAUUGGCAAUGGAAAGCUAGCUAGGAUUAAAGGCGUGCAGAUAAGCUGCAAAAGUAGAAUUGUUUAGCUGUAAGAAGCCAGAAAUGGAGGAGAGAGCAAGCGUGCAGGGGAGGAAGUCAGCUUGAUCACAGGAUUUCCGUCAGAGGCGCUGCACUGCAAAAGCAAGCAUGGAUGAAGCAAGUGCUGAAGGAGUCUACAAUACAGUAUUUUCUCAACUUCUUGCAGCAUUGGAGAACAAAGCUCUGAAAUAUCUUUUCCUUCAGAAGUUACUCAUCUGUUACUAGAAUUCAACCACACUUGCAGCCACAGCCUUCCAGUGUUAUUAUAUUCCAUGCCAGCUAAAAAUAAGUGAGACAACUAAGGCUUGUUAAACCGCUUAACAGAUAAGACAGAGCAGCAAAGCUAUGCCCAGGGAAGUAUUCAGAGCUCUAACAGUUCAUUAUAUUGUCAUUUUACUUGUAUAUAUAUUUAGCUUCCUUUCUUAAAACCACAUCUCUGGCCUACAGAAGUCAGGGAAGGUGCUUCAGAUCAGGCUCUUAGAAAUACUUUUUCCGAGUGCUCUAACAUAAUACACACAAGGUAAUGAUAUUAACACAGGGUUUUAAGGUCAAGUUUAUGGAAUCCAAGGCUUUAGAAGAAACCUUUGAGAUGCUGCAGCUGUGGAAAGGCAGGUCUUUGUUAGAGAACACAUACCAAUAUUUCCUCUUAACACGUGGGGCCACUUUACAUUCGUAAGUCUGCAUUAUUAAGCCAUCGUGGGAAGCGCAGCAGGAGGAAACCCAGAGUAAUUGGCUGCAGCUCCAGAGGCUGCUGCCUGCUCAUUGGAGAAAGGAGGAUUCUCUGAGCUGCUAAAAUUAGACAAUCUCCGCCCUCCAGAAAUGCUUCUGGAAACAGCCAGACAAGAAACCCUGAGGCAGGCCGAGGCCCGUGCUGGGGAGUGAAGCAGAACAGCCUGCUCCCAGCAAAACUGCAGCCUGCAAGGACUGUGCUGAAAGAGACCUUUUUGCCUUUUUUUUUUUUCCUUUCCUUUUUAACCUGUUUUGCAGAAGAAAUCAUAAUAAAAUGUGCACAAUAAAGAUAUUGCAAGACAUUAAUGUUAGCAGUGUUUGAUACUAAAAAUCAGUGCUUCCUAUGUAAUAACAAAGCAUUCAGGACAUCUCUGAACAGCCAAAUCUAAGGUAGGACUCUCAGACUUGUGCUCAUUGCCUUUGAAAAGAAACAAUCUUGAUGAACUAACACUAAAAAAAAAAUAAUCUGGUGAACUCAAGAUUAUGUCUUAAAAUUAUUUUUAUCCAUUAUAUCUGUGCAGCUGCAAUGUGUAUGAUGUAUUUAAACACAGGGUAAUCUUUCUCUGUUAAAAACACCACAUAGCUGUAUCAGUGCAGGAAACUCUAUCUGAAUUACUCAGCCUUGUGCACUUAGAACCUUUAUUUUUUUAAGGGAUGUGAAUAAAAACCUCACUAAUUCAUUUUUAAGCAUA